rnacentral:rRNA from 1 species
UACGGGGGGGGCAAGCGUUGUUCGGAAUUACUGGGCGUAAAGGGCUCGUAGGCGGCCCUCUCAGUCGGAUGUGAAAUCCCCAGGCUUAACCUGGGAACGGCAUCCGAUACUGGAGGGCUUGAAUUCGGGAGAGGGAUGCGGAAUUCCAGGUGUAGCGGUGAAAUGCGUAGAUAUCUGGAGGAACACCGGUGGCGAAGGCGGCAUCCUGGACCGGCAUUGACGCUGAGGAGCGAAAGCCAGGGGAGCAAACGGG